rnacentral:rRNA from 1 species
CCUACGGGAGGCAGCAGUGAGGAAUAUUGGUCAAUGGGCGCGAGCCUGAACCAGCCAAGUAGCGUGAAGGAUGACUGCCCUACGGGUUGUAAACUUCUUUUAUAAGGGAAUAAAAUGCGCCACGUGUGCUUUUUUGUAGGUACUUCAUGAAUAAGGACCGGCUAAUUCCGUGCCAGCAGCCGCGGUAAUACGGAGGGUCCGGGCGUUAUCCGGAUUUAUUGGGUUUAAAGGGAGCGUAGACGGGUUGUUAAGCCUGUGGUGAAAUUUUGCGGCUCAACCGUAAAAUUGCAAUUGAGACUGGCAGUCUUGAGUACAGUUGAGGUAGGCGGAAUUCGUGGUGUAGCGGUGAAAUGCUUAGAUAUCACGAAGAACUCCGAUUGCGAAGGCAGCUUACUAAACUGCCACUGACAUUGAUGCUCGAAAGUGUGGGUAUCAAACAGGAUUAGAUACCCUUGUAGUC